CAGCGGGUAUUUUAAUUAAAAUAUUAAUUUUGGAGAUUAAAGAAAAAGAUAUCUUUUCUGCUGA
rnacentral:tRNA from 1 species